AUGGCUGCAGUUGCCAGCAGAUGCAGAAUAAGGAGUCUCCAGCUCAUAUUCUCUGACACAAACAAUGGUCUGGCAGCUGUGCAUGGACAAAAGUGCCUUUGUGGGAGCUUUGGGAUCCAGAAAAGAGGUCACAAAACUCUGGUGAAGCUGAAGACAGAGGAGAGCCACUCUGAGAAGGAUAAUUGUGAAGAUCAGCCAAGAAGAUGAGCAAAUGGUAUAAACUUGACAAACUGUAAGACAAUUGAAAUACCAUAAAAAACACCAGGCUGGUCUGGUUAGGAGGAGAAAUCUUGCAUUCAGACUGAACAGAAUCCUGGGAUCCCAGGACAAGUAGGUUUUGGCUGCUCCUCUUAUCUACCCUUGUGAUCCGGGCCGGAGAUCAGCAAACUAUGGCCCAAGGGCAAAAUCCUGUCCACACUCAGUUUUUGUAUGAUCUAUGAGCUGGAAAUACGUUUUAGAUUUUAAGUGGUUCAAUGAAAAAAUAAGAGAUUUCAUGACCAUGAAUUUUUUUUUUUUUGAGAUGGAGUUUCGCUCUUGUUACCCAGGCUGGAGUGCAGUGGCGCGAUCUCGGCUCACGGCAACCUCCGCCUCCUGGGUUCAGGCAAUUCUCCUGCCUCAGCCUCCUGAGUAGCAGGGAUUACAGGCACGCACCACCAUGCCCAGCUAAUUUUUGUAUUUUUAGUAGAGGCGGGGUUUCACCAUGUUGACCAGUAUGGUCUCGAUCUCUUGACCUUGUGAUCCACCCGCCUCAGCCUCCCAAAGUGCUGGGAUUAUAGGCGUGAGCCACCGUGCCUGGCCGACCAUGAAAAUUAUAUGCAAUUCAAUUUUCAGUGUACAUAAAUAGUUUUUUGGAACAGAGUAGCACCGAUUUACUUACUUAUCCAUGGACGCUGCAUGCCAUGGCCGCAAAGUUGAGUGGUUGCCAUGAGACCAUAUUGCCUGCAAAGCUUAAACUACUGGCUAUCCUGGCCCUUUACUGAGACAGUUUUCUGACGCUUGAUCUAGGCAACUUCAGUUUUUCACAUCUUGUCUUGGCCUCAUGAGAACUUUAUUCUAGAGAUUUUUUUUUUUUUUUCCCAGUUGAACUUAAGUGGUUAGAAAUACUGCCUUUUCCUAGUAAUUAGGCUUUUAAAAAUGUUUCCAAAACAUUCCAGAACAUUGUAAACAGGUUUACAAUGCGAUGUUUGCUAACACAAAAAUAUAUGUUCUGGUAGGUGCUCAGUGGGAGAGACAGAGGACCUUCUUGGGCAUCAACAUCUGCUCAAAGUUUGACCCCUCUGGGUCUCUGUUUCCUCAUUUAUCAUAAUGAGGAAAACUGGAUGAUUUCUGAGACCCCAUUCUACGUUUCUACAAUGGCUUGUGUUAUUUUAAAGGUUGGUGUUCCCUCGUGGCUAUUAUAUGAGUGCUUUUGCUUCUUUGACGAUCUGCCUGUCUCUGGGACAGUUAACCCAUCACGUUUAAGGCUGGUGAUUAAAAACUUAAAUGCCUGCAGGGACUAGACAGGUGAAAUAAAGGAGAGAACCCCCCUGAGUUAAUAAAGACUCUGGUAAGUACUGAGGUGUGCUUCAGAGUACAGCCGAUCACUGGAAUAACAUCGUUUUCUUCAGUACCAUUUUAUUAAAAUGCCAAUAGAAAAAAAAAUUGAUUCUGGGCUGGGGCCACUGUCUUCAUGAUUUCGUGUUCUCCUCAAGUCUGCAUGGAUUUUCUCCAGAUACCCUGGUUUACCCCCACAUCCCAAAGAUGUUAGGUUCACUGGCAUAUCUGAAUUGUCCCCGUUUGAGUGAGCGUGGAUGUGUGUGGGAAUGCGUCCUGUGAUGGAAUGCCGUCCUGUCCAGGGAGGGUUUGUUCUUGGACCAAACUGAGGGUCACACUGCUGUUUCUUAUCGCCCCAUAAUGAGAUUCAGAUGAACUGGGGAGGAAGACUGCUUUUAUUUAUGUAACCGGUUACAGGGAGAAUGCCUGGAAAUUAUUUCCAGAACAAUUCAAAAUUACAAAGUUUUCCAUAUACCUUCUAAGCUACAUGUCUACGUCUAAGUGUGCAUUCAUCUAAACACAUAAAUGAUUAACUUCUUUUAAUCUAUAACUAGGGUCUGAGUCCUGAAGACUUUCUUCUGAAGCCUUAGUAAAUUUACUUAAUCUAAAUGGGUCCAGGUGCGGGGGUGAUUACCCUUCUCUGGUCUCCUGGUAAAUCAUGGAGGUUUGGGGAGUUCCUUUAGACCUGCAAUAAACUUGCUUAUGGGGGCCUGGGGAGUUUGUUCAGACCUCCCAAUAAAACUUGUUUAAUCCUAAAUGGGUCCUGUUAAUUCCUUCAUUAUUUUGUCAUGCUUUAAGACCCUGGAAAGGCCUAGGCAAAACUCUUGGUGGGCUUUUGUUACAUUCCAGCCUUUGUGUAAGGGCACUGGUGCAAUCAGCUUUUAAUGUUUAACCUAGCUACUCAGUCAGUGCUGGGACAGUUGUAAUGGAGCCCUGCGUUAGUGAGACCUGGCCUGCCAGGGGUUCGCACCUCGUGACCCGGCUGCUAGACUGGGCUAUGGUCACCCAUGACCCUCGACUGGAAUGACUGGGUAAAUAGUUACCUUACUUAUUUUUGUUACUUUUUCUGAUUUGUAUGUAUAGCUCACAUUUAUUUCAAUGUUUAAUAUUAGAAAUCUUUUCACCUUUAUUUAGAUGUUUGAUGAUGUUUUUGUGAACAGAAAUAUGCCAUAGGAACUUAACUCUUGUUUAUGUCAAUUAGCCUGGUAUAAAAUUGGUCUUCUUAUGUAACUACUGAACCCGUUUUAACUGGCUCGACUCUAUUGAUAACAGGAUGUUAAAUGAUCUUACAGGCGCAGAGUGAAGAAAUUGCAAGUCAUACAUUGCAAGUAUGCACAGAAAAGAUUUCAACCUCAAAUAAAAUCUGGCACUGAAGUUUCACUCCCUUCGUGGAACAAAUGUAUCAAGACUUGGUCAGAAUUGAAGGCCAGAACACUUUCAAAAGUGAAGGGGUACAAGCUCAGGAAUGGUAGCUGUCCUAACACCUACCAAAGGAUCC
rnacentral:lncRNA from 1 species